UACGGAGGGGGCGAGCGUUAUUCGGAAUUAUUGGGCGUAAAGGGCGCGUAGGCGGCUGUACAAGUCAAAGGUGAAAUCCCUCGGCUCAACUGAGGAACUGCCUUUGAAACUGUACGGCUUGAGGCCGGGAGGGGGUAGCGGAAUUCCCAGUGUAGCGGUGAAAUGCGUAGAUAUUGGGAGGAACACCAGUGGCGAAGGCGGCUCACUGGACCGGAACUGACGCUGAGGCGCGAAAGCGUGGGGAGCAAACGGG
rnacentral:rRNA from 1 species